UUGAGUUUGAUCAUGGCUCAGAUUGAACGCUGGCGGCAGGCCUAACACAUGCAAGUCGAGCGGAAACGAUGGAAGCUUGCUUCCAGGCGUCGAGCGGCGGACGGGUGAGUAAUGCAUAGGAAUCUGCCCGAUAGUGGGGGAUAACGUGGGGAAACCCACGCUAAUACCGCAUACGUCCUACGGGAGAAAGCAGGGGAUCUUCGGACCUUGCGCUAUCGGAUGAGCCUAUGUCGGAUUAGCUAGUUGGUGAGGUAAUGGCUCACCAAGGCGACGAUCCGUAGCUGGUCUGAGAGGAUGAUCAGCCACACUGGGACUGAGACACGGCCCAGACUCCUACGGGAGGCAGCAGUGGGGAAUAUUGGACAAUGGGGGAAACCCUGAUCCAGCCAUGCCGCGUGUGUGAAGAAGGCCUUCGGGUUGUAAAGCACUUUCAGCGAGGAAGAAGGCCUGAGGGUUAAUACCCUUCAGGAAGGACAUCACUCGCA
rnacentral:rRNA from 1 species